GGUUGUAUGGAACUGAAAAGGACCGACCCUUCGGGGAGCCUAUACAGGUGUUGCAUGGCUGUCGUCAGCUCGUGUCGUGAGAUGUUCGGUUAAGUCCGCUAACGAGCGCAACCCUCGUCGUAUGUUAUAUGUGUCAUACGAGACUGCCGGUAAAAAGCCGGAGGAAGGGUGAGGAUGAUGUCAAGUCAGCAUGACCUUUAUAUCCAGGGCUACACACACGCUACAAUGGUCUGUACAAUGGGUAGCCAAGCCGCGAGGCGGAGCCAAUCCUGAAAGCAGGCCUCAGUUCAGAUUGCAGUCUGCAACUCGACUGCAUGAAGCCGGAGUUGCUAGUAACCGCAGGUCAGCAAUACUGCGGUGAAUACGUUCCCGGGUCUU
rnacentral:rRNA from 1 species